rnacentral:rRNA from 1 species
AUUGAACGCUGGCGGCAGGCCUAACACAUGCAAGUCGAGCGGAGCGGCGGGCGGGUGAGUAAUACAUAGGAAUCUGCCUGGCAGCGGGGGAUAACGUCCGGAAACGGGCGCUAAUACCGCAUACUAUCAGAUGAGGCUAGGUGGGAUUGGCGAGGUGGGGGGGUAAAGGCCUACCAAGGCGACGAUCCGUAACUGGUCUGAGAGGAGGAUCAGUCACACUGGAACUGAGACACGGUCCAGACGCCUACGGGAGGCAGCAGUGGGGAAUAGUGGACAAGGGGGGAAAGCCUGAUCCAGCCAUGCCGCGUGUGUGAAAGAGGUCUUCGGAGUGUAAUGCACUUUAAGUUGGGAGGCGGUACCAACAGAAUAAGCACCGGCUAACUACGUGCCAGCAGCCGCGGUAAUAC